rnacentral:lncRNA from 1 species
CAGAAUCAAGAGCCUGAGCAUCCACGAUCUCCUCAGGGAGAUGUGCAUCAGAAAAGCCCGCGAACAGGAUUUUCUCCUGCAUCUUCGCGGGCUUAAACAUGCAUCAUCACUGAAGAUUCCACGCCGCCUAAGCGUCAUCCAUUCCGACCUAGAUUCCCUCCAAGGCUGCACCAUCCGUACUAUAAUAUGUUUGGAGGAGAGAAGACGAGGACGAGGACGAGGACGAGGAAGACAAUGUUCGGUGCGAUGUUUCCGAUUGCUGAGGAUUCUUGAUCUGAUGAAUGCCUAUGAAUACUUCUACGACUACAAGAAUGAUAACUCGCCCGUCUUCUCUCUACCGGAGGAGCUGUUCGAGCUCUUCCAUUUGAGAUACCUGGCCUUCGACUACACCUUCACCAUUCCGGGGGCCAUAUCGAAUCUUCAGAAUCUUCAGACACUGAUCAUCGGUCCGAGGAAGUAUNGCUUCGACGGCGAACUGAUGGCAAUAAAGCGCCGGCUCUGCGGAGAGCCGGCGUCUCCGCUGGAGACCAUCCCAAUCGCCGGUAUGGGAGGCAUAGGCAAGACUACGCUCGCCGUAAACGCCUACAACGAUCCAUUGAUCAUGGAGCGUUUCCAUAUUCGUGCUUGGGUGACAGUAUCACAAGAUUACAACGUCCGGGAAAUCACUUCGGGCUUCUGCGUCAAUGGAGUUAGCGCAAGGGACUCGCAGCAGCAUCACGUGUUCCAGAAGUUGAAGUGUCGGAGAUUCCUGAUUGUUCUGGAUGAUGUGUGGAGUACUCAGGCGUGGGACGAGUUGAGGCUGAUGUUUCCGGACGAUGGUAAUGGAAGUCGGAUCAUACUGACCACGAGGUUAGUGGAUGUGGCCAGCUAUGUGGUGGACGUAGCUGGCCACAUCCAUUUCAUGCGCUUGUUGGAUGAAGAUCAGAGCUGGAGUUUGCUGAAGCAGAAGGUGUUCAGACAAGGUUUUUGCCCUGAUGAUAAACUGGCUUAUGCCGGGAAGAUGAUCGCCAGGAGCUGCAGGGGCCUGCCCCUGGCGAUCGUUGUGAUCUCAGGGCUUCUGGCUCUCGACCAGACAAAAUCCGGGUGGAACAAUGUCGCGAGGAAUGUGAACUCCGUCAUCUCAGAGAAUGACGAGCAAUUUGACAAGAUACUAUCUCUGAGCUAUGCCCACCUGCCUCAUCAUCUGAAGCCGUGUUUCCUUUACAUGGCAGGUUUCCCGGAAUACUAUGAUAUGCGCGCUUCCAAACUGUUCAAGCUAUGGGUAGCUGAAGGAUUUCUAAAAGCGAAGCGGUAUAAAAGCCUGGAAGAGACGGCAGAAGAGUAUCUGGAGGAUCUGGUGAAGCGAAGUCUUGUUUUGGUCACACAGAGGAAGUCCAAUGGCAGAAUCAAGAGCCUGAGCAUCCACGAUCUCCUCAGGGAGAUGUGCAUCAGAAAAGCCCGCGAACAGGAUUUUCUCCUGCAGCUUCGCGGGCUUAAACAUGCAUCGUCACUGAAGAUUCCACGCCGCCUAAGCGUCAUCCAUUCCGACCUAGAUUCCCUCCAAGGCUGCACCAUCCGUACUAUAAUAUGUUUGGAGGAGAGAAGACGAGGAGGAGGACGAGGAAGGCAAUGCUCGGUGCGAUGUUUCCGAUUGCUGAGGAUUCUUGAUCUGAUGAAUGCCUAUGAAUACUUCUA